rnacentral:rRNA from 1 species
GACGAACGCUGGCGGCGUGCUUAACACAUGCAAGUCGAACGGAAAGGCCCUGCUUUUGUGGGGUGCUCGAGUGGCGAACGGGUGAGUAACACGUGAGUAACCUGCCCUUGACUUUGGGAUAACUUCAGGAAACUGGGGCUAAUACCGGAUAGGAGCUCCUGCUGCAUGGUGGGGGUUGGAAAGUUUCGGCGGUUGGGGAUGGACUCGCGGCUUAUCAGCUUGUUGGUGGGGUAGUGGCUUACCAAGGCUUUGACGGGUAGCCGGCCUGAGAGGGUGACUGGCCACAUUGGGACUGAGAUACGGCCCAGACUCCUACGGGAGGCAGCAGUGGGGAAUAUUGCACAAUGGGCGGAAGCCUGAUGCGGCAACGCCGCGUGCGGGAUGACGGCCUUCGGGUUGUAAACCGCUUUCGCCUGUGACGAAGCGUGAGUGACGGUAAUGGGUAAAGAAGCACCGGCUAACUACGUG